rnacentral:rRNA from 1 species
AACGCUGGCGGCAGGCCUAACACAUGCAAGUCGAACGGUAACAGGAAGCAGCUUGCUGCUUCGCUGACGAGUGGCGGACGGGUGAGUAAUGUCUGGGAAACUGCCUGAUGGAGGGGGAUAACUACUGGAAACGGUAGCUAAUACCGCAUAACGUCGCAAGACCAAAGAGGGGGACCUUCGGGCCUCUUGCCAUCGGAUGUGCCCAGAUGGGAUUAGCUAGUAGGUGGGGUAACGGCUCACCUAGGCGACGAUCCCUAGCUGGUCUGAGAGGAUGACCAGCCACACUGGAACUGAGACACGGUCCAGACUCCUACGGGAGGCAGCAGUGGGGAAUAUUGCACAAUGGGCGCAAGCCUGAUGCAGCCAUGCCGCGUGUAUGAAGAAGGCCUUCGGGUUGUAAAGUACUUUCAGCGGGGAGGAAGGCGAUAAGGUUAAUAACCU